rnacentral:rRNA from 1 species
UACGAAGGGGGCUAGCAUUGUUCGGAUUUACUGGGCGUAAAGCGCACGUAGGCGGAUCUUUAAGUCAGAGGUGAAAUCCCAAGGCUCAACCUUGGAACUGCCUUUGAUACUGGGGAUCUUGAGUCCGGGAGAGGUGAGUGGAACUGCGAGUGUAGAGGUGAAAUUCGUAGAUAUUCGCAAGAACACCAGUGGCGAAGGCGGCUCACUGGCCCGGUACUGACGCUGAGGUGCGAAAGCGUGGGGAGCAAACAGG